AGCAAUGCAAACAUUAUUACUGACAGGUAACAGAGGGUGGGCGCAGGUCAGGCCGUAGCAUCCAGGGAUAGUCACUAACAGUAGCUGUCAUAUUUAUCGCUGGCUUCUUUGGAGCCAGCGUUAGUAGUUGGAGACAGAGCACACAAAAGGACUAUUCAGUGCAAUCCAUGCUCUGAAAUAAAACAGAUGCGCUGUGGAAGUUUGCAAACUCCCCAGCACAGAAGGUUGGCAGAGCUCCGCUCCGUAACUAGGGCCCAUCUCCUUGGCAGCAUCGGGAGCCCUUCCACAGCCCUGGUGCCAGGGCUACUGCUCAUGCUGCUUAGAUGAAGGGCAGUCUAGAGGACAAAGCACUUAGCCUGGCAGUUAAAGGGAUGGAGAUCAAAACCAAGACUCAGAGCCCACCCGAGCAUUUAAACCCUUCCACCUAUUUUGGAUGGCAAGCUGGUAUUUCAGGAAUGAGUACAACCAAAGGCACCUGGUCUGGUUUUACGGACUGGAACACUUUUGGAAAGCAAUCAGAUACGAUUUGGACAAAAACAAUGGAGGCCCAGACACAGAGGCUGCCCUGGGAGAGUAUACCAGCUGUCUGCUCAGUUUCAAACCUCUAAUCAUGUUCUUGGAGAGAAAGCAAGGGGACCUGUUAGGGGCUGCUGAGCUCUGUGCUCGGGGCCAGGUCCAGACGGUGGAGCCAGCGAGCACGAGUCCUGCAGUGCAGAGGCAGCUCCAUCGCCUCGGACGUACAUUUCUGGCACCAGGACAGCAGCAAACAAGGCCGAGACUCUGAACAGACACUGAGGACUGGGAGAGAGGCAGAGGGAUGAAAAACGGUGGCGAGAGCAAAGAUGAAAUGCUGGAAGUCGGCAGGACAGCGGGAGGAAGCGUGGCACCUGCUGGCACCGGGCAGAGAGCUGCAGGUUGCAGGCUGUAGGGCCCGCCGUCAGCCAGCAUAAAGCAGCCCCACUUCUCGCUGACAGCCUGUGCCAAGGCACAACAGCUUCAAGGCCAUGCUCCAGCACUGAUGGUUUGAUCCCCUGUGUGCUGCCUGCAUGUCUGUGAUGUGCUGGAUGGAUAGCCAGGGAACCCAGACCAGUGGUACUGCCACAAUGCAAAGCAAGCCCUUGGAAAUAAAUGUGUAAAACUACCACCAUGCCCUCCUUCUACUCUUUAGAUCCUCUCCCCCACUUGUAAACUACCUGGCAGUGUUUGACGGCUGGCAGGCUGCAAAGCUUCUCCUUCACAACCCAUCAAGAGAAGCUGGGAUUCUCCCUGCUGAUUUACCUGGGCCUUGUCUCGCUGCGAGCUGUGACACGUGUCACACGACGACACCACACCACGGCUCACAUCCAUCCCAACAAGAUGCAGGCAAUUACUUGAGGCCCCUUGUUAAGAGUCUGAUCAUCUUGGGCUUGGCAGAAGAUCAGCAGUGCCUCCAAAGCUGAUUCUGCCCACCUCAUUGACACUAAGGAGAACUUUGUGUGAAUAACUUUGGUGCUAAACACCAAAAAUUAGGUGGGGUGAGGUAAUCCAGGCUAGCGCAUCUGUGGUUCCCUACAUAGGGCCUUUUGUUGCUGCCACUAAGGAGUAAAAUGCCAAACACGGCUCAUACCAAUUCCACCUCUCUGUAAUGUUUUGUCAGCUCACCGUACCCUUACAGAAACCCUCAGGUGCUGGCAGGCACCCUGCUUUCCAGUGAGGCCCAGUCAGACGUUGCAGCCUCACGAGCCUAUUCAGUCAAGUUAACGUGCCUCACGCUGUUGCUAGCUUUAAACACACGCACUUGAGAUCAGUUUUUCCAUUCAGAAGAUAACCUCUACAGUUCCCUCCCCUUCUGAUAAGCUUCAGAAGAAGAGAAAAUGAAGUCAUGUCCUCACCACCCCGUAUACAUGUGGCUUGCAUACCAGCUCCACAAGAGCUCCCGCACCAGGACACCCAUGCGGAGAUCUGGUGGCUUGCUCUGCAGCGUGUUCAAAAGCCUGCAGGGAUGCCCCAAAUCUGUCCCCUUUCUGCUGUGCCCUGGGCUGUGAUCAGCAGGAGAAACGGGCACUUGGAGAGCAAUAUUCAAUCUGCCUAAGGUCUGAGUUGCCUUCUGUGCCACCUUAUAUCUCUCCAAUGACCCAAAGGUUUGCUGGGUGGCUGUGAUCCAGGUCACCCAGACACACGCUUAGUGUUAGGACAAAUUUACAACCAACAGUUUGCACCUACAGUUUGAGACAAUAAAAACUGCAUCUGGAGCAUCCACACUACGAAAUGCUAUGCACCUGAAAGGUUUUUGGACUCCAAGUAAGCCACAAACAUGAAGUGUGAAUGGUUUACGCUGGCACUUGGUCUUCUCAGCAGCUGAAGAUGCAUAAACCAUGUUAAAGUUAACUAAACGAAGCUGUCAUAAAACUGAGUCCUGGUUAUGGGAACUGUAAGGAACUUAAACUUUGAGCUGGAGUGAGUCAAAUCUAGACUGCCAGAUUAGGGCGUAACUUCUCCUGAAGCCACCCAAGACACAGGUUGGCACCAACUGGGUAUCUGGCCCUAUCUGGAACUAUUUCAAAGAAAGCAAAUUGCAUUCAAUUUCUUAGGAACUGCACAUUACCAGCAUCCACAGACAGAAAUCAAAGCACAGCAUACUUCAUGGAGUGAAUCAGAGAGCAAAAGAAUUCCUGGAUUUCUAAGACACCAGGAAAGGUUUUGAUAGGCUGCAGUUCAUUACCACUAUUAUAAUUAUUUAUAUUUUUCAGAGAUCUCACAGUAUUCUCAGCACUUGGUCCAUCCGAAGUCAAAGUUCACAGCUUUUUCCAAACAAAGUACCCAUUAGGGUUAAUGCACAAACCUAAAGGCCAUCCAAAAGAAAAGCAGAAAAUCCAAAGAUGGCUCAGUUUGCCUCAUUACAGAGCACUUCCUGAGGCAAUCCUUUUCACCAACCGUUUCCUUACUAGAAAACGUUUGACCUAAAACAAUUUUAAAACUUUUUAAGUCUUACAACAGUGUAAAUCCUUUCUGAACCAAGUGAUUUUCAAUUGUGGGAUUUUUUUUAUCACUUUUAAAACUGUACGCAGGCCCAGAUUUAGUUAUCAUGGAUGCUACUCACAGAGGUCUGAGAUUCCCUCCAGGGGAGAAGUUGACUGAUAACAAUGGUGAUAUGUGCGAAGCACAGCACUGCUGCUGCCUUUGAGUACGACUUCAACCUCGCCUCGACGAUCCCUCCUUUGCGGUGGCAUUCCCUUCUUAUCCAGCUGCCAAAAGGAGAUCUGAAAUGAACAUAAUAAACAUUCAUCAGCUAUGGCUUUUUUUUUCCCCUGCUAAGCAUCCAAAAACAUAUCCGAGAUAAACAAACAAAGCAAAACACUUGGCCUGAACCAAAUCCUGGCUCCAAACAAAUCUGGAUAAGAAAUUUGUGGUUGAGAUCUGUCAUAUUAAACCCAGCGAAGUAAAUCUACUUCAGAUGUGUCCAUUGCUGUGAUAUCUGGACCCUGGACUCUUUAGUGUGUUGGUUAACGUCUUUUGGCAUCCUUCUGGAUGUGGCCCAAGGGUAGGUCUGUGCUGUGGGGUCAGGGACAUCCCAGUUGUGUCUGAGGAUGGUAUUCCAGUCCCAGAAACACUGAGCAGCACAAAGGAAGACAUGCUCAUGUUGGUUUUACAUGAGCAGCCUAGUUUCUGGGUUCAGAGCAUCUCUGUGACCUCAUGCCAUGACUAACUAAAGUCAGGACUAGCUUAGGGAACUAUUUCUCCCCAUGGACACGUCCUUAAGCCUGGACACAUCUGACUUACCUUUAGCAACCUGCCUGAGGUACCUGAGGGAGAGAGACAUCCCCGAGGCACUCACACAAUCAUCAGCAAUGGCAGUGCCUUUGGAGAUGCCAACCUCUCACCACCAGCCACAAAGCUUUAGGGUAAUCCAAGCUGAUGGUCUGAGCCAGCUGGUGCCUCAGGUCCAGCUUUCCUUUGUGCUGCCUUAUCCUGGCAGCUGUUUGGCUCCUACCCAAAUACACAGCACCUUGGGGAUCCCGCAUCACAACCCAGGCUUUCCAAGCAGCAUUAUCUACUAAGCCAUAAGGACAUGUGCAUGCUUUCAGUUCUCAUGCAGAGCAUCUUUCCUUCCCAAUGAUUUUUCAUCUAACUUCCAGAAAACACACGGGAUUUGCUGUGACAUGUGGGACUCGAGGGCAAGACAUCACUAAAAUCAAAGAGGGUGAGAGGCUGCAGAGCUCCAAAGGGUCUGCCUUGGCUUUGUAGUUUCCACCGAGUUCAAAUUUUGCCUAAAAGGAAUUAAUUAACAUUGGGCAACCCCACGGCGAUUCCUCAUCUGCUCUGGAGCAGAAGAGCCCAUCACUAUGGUGAUACGACAUUAAAGGACUGGGUCCAAAAUGUGAUUCUGGCAGGAGGACACACGUACCAGGCCAGAAUCCAAGCUCCUGGGCGAGCUGGUUGGAACCCUGGUGGAGGUGCUCCAGGCUUACCCUGGGGUCACUGAGACCAGCCCUGGCCUGCAGCCUUUGAGGAGAGCUCCGUCCUGUCGUGCAGAUGGCUCGCCUUCUAAUUUGGAGGGGCUGAAUGACUUUUCAAAACCUUUGAUUCCUCGCUGAUGUAUUCACUUCAGGAGACACAAAAGUACAAAAUCUCAGCAUGGAGUGACUCCCAUGCUUUCUUUUUCCUUCCUUCCCACCCCUGCCCCCCCAACGCUUUGUCUUUUCUUUUCUUCUUUCCCUGGACAGUUUUAUAAUUUUGGCAUGCCGCCAGAACGUCUGUCCUUGUUAGCUUGUGCUGGCUGUGAAACACCUGCAGCCCAUUAAAGCAGGGGGAUGAAAAA